rnacentral:rRNA from 1 species
UACGUAGGGGGCAAGCGUUGUCCGGAUUUAUUGGGCGUAAAGAGCGUGUAGGCGGCCUGACAAGUCUGCUGUGAAAACUCGAGGCUCAACCUCGAGAUGUCGGCGGAAACUGUCUGGCUAGAGUCCGGAAGAGGAGAGUGGAAUUCCUGGUGUAGCGGUGAAAUGCGCAGAUAUCAGGAAGAACACCCGUGGCGAAAGCGGCUCUCUGGAACGGUACUGACGCUGAGACGCGAAAGCGUGGGGAGCGAACAGG